rnacentral:rRNA from 1 species
CGGUAUGGGGGCAACUCCAUAUAGUGGCGCAAGGGUUAGUAAUACAUAGAUAAUCUGCCUCUGACCUGGGAAUAACGGCUGGAAACGGCCGCUAAUACCGAAUGAGGUGGCACAGGGCAUCCUGUGCUUAUCAAUGCGGGGGAUCGAAAGACCUUGUGGUUAGAGAAGAGUCUAUGGGAUAUCAGCUAGUUGGUGAGGUAAUGGCUCACCAAGGCUAAGACGUCUAGGCGGAUUGAGAGAUUGACCGCCAACACUGGGACUGAGACACUGCCCAGACUCCUACGGGAGGCUGCAGUCGAGAAUCUUUCGCAAUGGGCGCAAGCCUGACGAAGCGACGCCGUGUGAGCGAAGAAGGCCUUCGGGUUGUAAAGCUCUUUCGCUAGGGAACAAGAGAUAUGGGACAAUACCCCAUAGAUUUGAUGGUACUUGGUAAAGAAGCACCGGCUAACUCCGUGCCAGCAGCUGCGGUAAUACGGAGGGUGCAAGCAUUGAUCGGAAUUACUGGGCGUAAAGGGCGCGUAGGCGGUAGAAUAAGUCAGAUGUGAAAUUCCGGGGCUCAACCCCGGAGCUGCAUUUGAAACUAUUCAACUAGAGUUCAGUUAGGGUAAACGGAAUUCCACGUGUAGCGGUGAAAUGCGUAGAUAUGUGGAAGAACACCGGUGGUGAAGACGGUUUACUGGGCUGAUACUGACGCUGAGGCGCGAAAGCAUGGGGAGCAAACAGGAUUAGAUACCCUGGUAGUCCAUGCCUUAAACGAUGUAUACUA